UUUUGCGCCAGCGCCAAAAAGUCGACUCUGGAAUAGACAUCAACAACAACCAGAAUUUACAUUGACACCGUCACGAGCCAGUCCCCCAGACUUGGCCCGAAAACGAAGCCAGGCUGGGGAACCACAGUCUGUUGACAAACGAGCUUAAGAGCCCAGAAGUAAGCAAGAAUACUCAUUCAAUUCCUUUCCAAUAAGUUUAUGCUUGGCUGGAUCUCGGAAAAGGUUUCUGCUCGUCCGCUUGGGAUUAUUACUGAUGUUUGUCUUGAUGUCUUGCCUUGUCUAAUCCUCGUCGGAAACUGAGGGGAAUAUUGGAGGAGAAAGUUGCCUUUGUUAAGCGCUAAAGUUACACUUGGAUUCUAGAUGAGAUGCCGACGCGAUUCGCUGCCGCUGGAAUCUGAAACGGAUCGCCUGGGCUGACGGACCAACUGCGAAUGAAACGGGAAGCUAAGGCUGGCAGAGCCAGCAGCGAACAGACCGCCAAUUACGAAAGUGAAGCUGCCAAGGAGAGGUCCUUUUUUGCAGUCAAUUUGACAGGAGGGCGAGUCAAGCCAAAGGCAGUAACCACCCCCACCCACAUCCCACCACCCGCCCAAAGCCACAAACGGAAAAGCGAAAAACACAGCUGCGACGGGAAAAUGAAAAGCAGCGAGCGCCGAGAAUGCAGAAUCCAGAAUAGAGAAUCGAGAACGGAGAACGGAGAACGGAGCACCGAGAACCGGGCAAAGCAAAACGAACAAAAACAAACAAAAAAAAAAAGGAAACCAAACGAAAGUCGAAAAUUUACGAAAAGCUACCAAAUGUUACAUUUCAUCCCUCGAUGGUGGACCAAAAGCAGCCGACCAGCCACCCACCCGUCCACCACCCACCCAUUCCACAAUCGGCAGCGUGGUGGACACACACCAGCAAGGAGUCCCAAAAGAGAGAGAGAAAGAGAGUCGCGGGAGGAGAGCGAGGAGUGGCGGGUAACCAACCGGAAAACGCCCUUUUUUCAGUGUCUCCGUACUGAUGCGAUUACAGCAAAUGAGGGGACUUCCUACCGUCCACCAUUUUUGUUUUUCUCCCCUCAGCGCUCACACACACACACACACACACACACACACGUCAGCCGGCGCAGUGAGACUCAGCACGCACACUAGCGCACACGUCCUGUGGCUUUCGACAAUUCACCACAAAAUGUCAAGAAUGACGAAAAGCUAGCCGAGGAUGUAUUGGUAUGUGCAUGUGCUGCUGCUGUCCCGCUCGCACAGCUGCCUUUUCGCUCGCUUCCCUUCCGCUGUACUGCUCCUGUGCUAGCAAAUAGCCUUCAUCGGCAGAGAUGUUGAGAUCUCCUGGCUUCUCUCCUUUUUUCUAGGUUUUUUGCUCUUUGUCUGGUGGAAUCCGGCGCUUGUAGGCUGUCGGAUUAUUAGUUCUAAAGUCAGGAUCUCUUCUGCCGAAAGGGCGCUACAGUUGGGGUACAUUUGACUGGUUGAGUUAGCUUGAGUUCGCUGUUUGUUUGUUUUUUUGAAUUACUUCUCUAAAAUUGUUUAAAGCAAACAUAUAAUUUAGAUGAUAUAGAUGAUAUAGACAAACAAACUAUA